UCUGUAUGUGUUUGCAGGCAGAGAAACAACAUGUUCAAAAAUACAUAUAACAAUUUUUUUAAUGCUUAUUUAGGACUCAGAAUGUGUGGACUUUAUUUAUACUUCUAUAUAAUUUUUAGCAUAACCAUAAAAAUAGCCCUGUAGUCAAUAACAAUUGUACAUUAAAAAAAACUAAAACUGUAGAAUUGGUUUAUAAUACAAAGGAUAAAUGCUGGAGAUGAUGGAUACUUAAUUUUUCCUGAUGUAAUUAUUACAUAUUAUAUGUCUGUAUCAAAAUGUGCUAUAUAUGGCAUAAAUAUACACAUACAAUGUAUCCACAAAAAUUAAAAAGUAUAAACUUAGAUGAGAAAUAAAUAUUUAACCUAUGAGAACAUUCUUUAACCUCCUUGCAGUUUAAAGUCACUGGCAAAAGGGAUUACUAGAAAUGUUUGUCCAUUAUGUUACCAAAUAGUAUGUUACCAUCUUUUGCCUACACCAGUGAGUAAAGUGAAAUAGGUUAAAGUUAAUGGCAUACUAACUUUAUUAAAUGUUUUAUAAAUGUUAAAUAAAAUUUUAAUAAAAUAUUAAGUUCACACAUAACUUAAAAUUUUAAGAACGUACAUUUUAUUACAUAAAAGUACAAUUAGUAAAAUAAUUUACUAAUUUUAACUAAAAUUUAAAAUGCUUUUUUCUCACUAUAAUGCAGAAUAUUACCCUGAACACCCACCUCAUGUGUCACUUAUAUUAACAAAAAGAGCCUCUCCACUUAGAUUUUUAUGUGUCUUACAUUUUAAUGUCCUUACCCUUCCAUAAAAAAGAUCAUAAUGCCCAACUAAUAAAAAAAAAUUCUCCUAUCUCUGAUGCAACAAUUAGUCACAAGUUGAAUACAAUAGAAAUGAAGAAAACAAGAAGAGUUUUGAAUUUUGAGAGUUGAAUUACAUUAUUCAUGUUGCAAAUAAUCUGUAUUUUUUAAGGAAAAAAGUAUACUUUCAAUGUAAUUAUAACUUUUCAAAAAAUUUUCUACACCUUUUAAAGUUAUACACAAUUUAUCUAACAACUUUAGUUCUGGAUUAUUUUUUAUACUCAGCAUUCUGAUUUACUGUAAUGUCUGAAGUGUCAGUGCCUUAGAUAUUUCUGAGCUAUCUGAUAUUUACAUAGACUUAAUUUUAGAAUAAAUAUUGUUUUAUA
rnacentral:lncRNA from 10 species